rnacentral:rRNA from 1 species
AUGGUGAAAAUAAACGUCGAUGCUGCGUUUGCUGAACAAAGAGGAGUUGGAGGCUGGGGCCUAAUCUGCAGAGAUGACGCUCAAGACAUUCGUUUUGCAGCGGCUGGAGCCCAGCAUGAUCUGCAAAGCGCCCUACAAGCUGAAGCUGUUGCUCUUUCCAAGGCAGUGACUCUGGCGGAUAGGUUAGGAGUUGGGCGCGUCAUUUUUGAAACUGACUGUAUGGUCCUUAAGCAAGCAAUGAACUCAAACGACUAUGAGUUGGCGCAACUGGGUGUUUUGUUUAGUGAUAUCAGGUUCAGACUUAGGACCCAUUUCAUUGAGGCUCAUGUGGUGUAUGUGCCGAGAUAG